GGCCCGAGUUGUAAUUUGCAGAGGAUGCUUUUGGCGAGGUGCCUUCCGAGUUCCCUGGAACGGGACGCCAUAGAGGGUGAGAGCCCCGUCUGGUUGGAUACCGAGCCUCUGUAAAGCUCCUUCGACGAGUCGAGUAGUUUGGGAAUGCUGCUCUAAAUGGGAGGUAUAUGUCUUCUAAAGCUAAAUACCGGCCAGAGACCGAUAGCGCACAAGUAGAGUGAUCGAAAGAUGAAAAGCACUUUGAAAAGAGGGUUAAACAGUACGUGAAAUUGUUGAAAGGGAAGCGUUUAUGACCAGACUUGGACCCGGUGAAUCAUCCAGCGUUCUCGCUGGUGCACUUUGCCGGGCUCAGGCCAGCAUCAGUUUGUCCCGGGGGAUAAAGGCUUAGGGAAUGUGGCUCCUCCGGGAGUGUUAUAGCCCUCUGCAUAAUACCCUGGGGCGGACUGAGGUUCGCGCAUCUGCAAGGAUGCUGGCGUAAUGGUCAUCAACGACCCGUCUUGAAACACGGACCAAGGAGUCGUCUUCGUAUGCGAGUGUUCGGGUGUCAAACCCCUACGCGUAAUGAAAGUGAACGCAGGUGAGAGCUUCGGCGCAUCAUCGACCGAUCCUGAUGUUCUCGGAUGGAUUUGAGUAAGAGCAUACGGGGCCGGACCCGAAAGAAGGUGA
rnacentral:rRNA from 2 species